rnacentral:rRNA from 1 species
UACAGAGGGUGCGAGCGUUGUUCGGAAUUAUUGGGCGUAAAGGGCGCGUAGGCGGUGCGGUAAGUCACCUGUGAAAUCUCCUGGCUCAACUGGGAGCUUGCAGGCGAAACUGCCGUGCUGGAGUGUGGGAGAGGUGCGUGGAAUUCCUGGUGUAGCGGUGAAAUGCGUAGAUAUCAGGAGGAACACCUGUGGCGAAAGCGGCGCACUGGACCACAACUGACGCUGUGGCGCGAAAGCUAGGGGAGCAAACGGG